UACAGAGGUCUCAAGCGUUGUUCGGAUUCAUUGGGCGUAAAGGGUGUGUAGGUGGCGCGCUAAGUCGGGUGUGAAAUUUCGGAGCUUAACUCCGAAACUGCAUUCGAUACUGUCGUGCUUGAGGACUGGAGAGGAGACUGGAAUUUACGGUGUAGCGGUGAAAUGCGUAGAUAUCGUAAGGAAGACCAGUGGCGAAGGCGGGUCUCUGGACAGUUCCUGACGCUGAGGCACGAAGG
rnacentral:rRNA from 1 species